UUGAUAGAGGCCAAAAAGAGGCAUAUCAUUGUUAAUGAUACAAUUGAAAUUUCUUUCCUAUCAAU
rnacentral:tRNA from 1 species